rnacentral:rRNA from 1 species
GAUGAACGCUGGCGGCGUGCCUAAUACAUGCAAGUCGAGCGAACAGACCAGGAGCUUGCUCCUCUGACGUUAUCGCCGGACGGGUGAGUAACACGUGGUUAACCUACCUAUCCGACUGGGAUACCUUCGGGAAACCGUGGCUACUACCGGAUAAUAUAUUGCCCCGCAUUGUUCAAUCGUUAAAGUCGGUUUUUCCGUCACUAAUAGAUUAAUCCGCGCCGCAUGAGCUAGUUGUUAAGGUAACGGCUUACCAAGGCGACGAGGCGUAGACGACCUGAGAGGGAGGAUGGACAGACGGGAAGUGAGAAACGGUACAGACUCCGACGGGAGGAAGCAGUAGGGAAUCUUACGCGAGGGGGGAGAGCGGGACAGAGGAAAGCCGGGGGAGGGAUGAAGGACUACGGAUGGUAAAACGAUGAUAGUAGUGAAGAAGAAAUGUGUAAGUAACUAGGAAGGUAUUGACGGUACCGAAACAAAAAGCCACGGCUAACUACGUG